AUCAAUGAUGGCCGACCCCAACUGAUGUGAUAUUUGAUUCAUACCAACUAGAGAAAUCUUGGAAUCCAUGUGACAACCUACCAUAAGCAGAUAAAGAAGAAAAUAGCAAAAUAUCUUUUUAGAUAAGACAGAAUAUCAUAAGCAUAUCAUACUUGAUAAGGCCAGACUAAUCAUCUGAUUCUCCUUUCUCCUCACGACACCUUGGUCUCUGUCUAUAAAUAGAGGGCCACAG
rnacentral:lncRNA from 1 species